GUUUUUGAACCAAGGUCAGAUUCCCGGAGAUUAAGACUAAGGAAACGAAAGUGCUCAAGUUUAAUAUAGAAUCAGUGAUUUAUGGUUGUUUUGAUGCUUAAUAUAUGACUCUCAUGAGGAUUGAAUCUGGCUUGCUGCUGCUGUUCGAAUCCGUUUGGCCCAAGGCUGAUAUAGAUAUAUACACACUUUGUUGCUUGAUGAAGUUGGUUAUAGAAGUGUCUUCGAAUCCCAACCCUGUUCUGCUACGUGAAGCUGCAAUUAUACGGUGUUAGGGGUAUCAAUUUUUGAAGCUGAAAACAAUGAGAGACCUAUUGAUCCAUGUGGUGAAAACCCGCGCGCGGAACACACACACAUAUUUGUAGGGUUGCGUAUGAUUAA